GGAGGAAAGCAGGGGAUCGCAAGACCUUGCGCUUUUGGAGCGGCCGAUGCCUGAUUAGCUUGUUGGUGAGGUAAAAGCUCACCAAGGCUCCGAUCAGUAGCUGGUCUGAGAGGACGACCAGCCACACUGGGACUGAGACACGGCCCAGACUCCUACGGGAGGCAGCAGUGGGGAAUUUUGGACAAUGGGGGCAACCCUGAUCCAGCCAUGCCGCGUGAGUGAAGAAGGCCUUCGGGUUGUAAAGCUCUUUCAGCCGGAACGAAACGGUCACGGUUAAUACCCGUGACUACUGACGGUACCGGAAGAAGAAGCACCGGCUAACUACGUGCCAGCAGCCGCGGUAAUACGUAGGGUGCGAGCGUUAAUCGGAAUUACUGGGCGUAAAGCGUGCGCAGGUGGUUUUGUAAGUCAGAUGUGAAAUCCCCGGGCUUAACCUGGGAACUGCGUUUGAAACUACAAAGCUAG
rnacentral:rRNA from 1 species